ACUGGCCUUGGGAGGGCCUCAGGAGUGGUUUUUCUUACUUGCUGGACUGUGUGGAAGUCUAAAGUCCCCCUAGGGGGGCUGGGGCCCUGGCUACUUGCAGAUGCAGGGAAGUAUUUUCAUAUUCCACCUUCGGCACAGUCAUGCUGCGUAUUCUAGCUCAAUGUCAGCCACAAGCCAUUUUCCUUCUACCAAGACCCAAGACCCAGACUCUGGUCAGCUGCCUUCCCCGCUGGCCCUGCCGUGAGUGUCUUAUGUCUCUAGGACCUCCUGUCCCGGAUAUGAGCCUUCGAGCAGGUUCCCAUGGCAAGAUUGUGCCCAGGCUGGGUGGGGUGGAAGCUCUGAGGCACCAACACUCUGUGCCUCUCCGCGGAAUCCUCACGACGACCGCUUCUCCCAGACUGGAGCUGACGGAGCCAAAUCUCUGAGAGGCGAAUUGGCUGACCAUGCGUCCCGCAGCCAAGACCCCACAAGCUGAACCCACAAAAGACAGGAACUAAAGAUGGUGGGGCACAUGUUACCUGAACUUUUGCGGUGCUUGCACCAGCCGUAGCAUAAACUCAACAAUUUUCAAUGCUGCGAAACACGCCCAAAACACAUAGCUCAGCAGGCCAGAAACCCGACUUCAGGAGACGGCAGGGCAUUCUUCCGAAGGCGCCAGGGGAGGAUCCUUCCCGCCUCUUCUAGCUGCUGGUGGCUGCAGGAUUUCUGCAGGUGCUGGAGCUUGCCUGGAAGGCUUCCCACUUUUGCCCUGGAGCUUCUACUCUGUUGUGUCUGUUCCACAUCACUCAGGACAUGAGUCUCGGCCCCUCCUCAGCUCCCAGGAGGAAGCGCCCUCCUUCCAUAGCAGCUGAGGCUUACCCAGCGCUUUCUAUGGCCCCACCUCAGUGCUCUGCAUGUGCAAAUGCUGGGAACAACCCUCAAGAGGACUGGAGGAACUAAAUUGAAACCCAUCCUCCCAGAAGAAGUGCUGAUAGUACCCCGAAAGAUUUCCUGGAAGAAGAUUGAAAUCAGCUGCUCUGCCUUGUUUACCGAAAAUAGAAGUUGUUGAAAACCCCAACAAGGAACCAGCACAGCCAGCAGAGAGCUCCCCUAAACCUGGGCACCACAGGACACCUCCAUCUUCUUUCUUCCUAAGAACUUCCACCCUGGAAUCUGCCCUUUUCUGAGGCCUGAACUUCUAGAAAAUUCCACAGAGUUGUGACUCUGGAAUCCAGCACCCAAACAGCCAUUACUGCUGAGGUAACUUCUUUCUGGUCGCAGGUAGGAAAGUUAUUAAAAUUUCAAGUAGUAAUACAGAAAAGUUCUUUUUUUUUGGGGGGGGUGCAGAGGCCUCAGAAAGAGGCUAAUUGUUCAAAGGUUGCUUUCUUUUUAUUGUAAAAACACACAACAUGAAGUUGGCCAUUUUAACCAUUUUAUGUUGUGCCACAGAGGCAGUAAGCGCGCUCAUAAUUUCUGUCACUUUUUUAAAAGCACAUUUAUUAUCUCCUUUUA